UCUUCUUCUUCUUCUCCUUCUUCUCACUUCUAUCAGCCUCACCAUUACUUCUACCAUCAUCAACGGUUGCAGCCUCCCCAGCCUCUUUGUCUUUCUUCUUCUUCUUCUUUUUCUUCAUUUUGUUCCUUUUCUAAACCCUCUUGUUUAAUCCCUGUGUUGUUGAGAUUGCUAUGAAAUAUUUCACUCAAUGUGGGUGGUUCAGCUAGAUAUCUAGUUCCCUGAAGAGCGUCGUCCAGAUUAUUUGAGAGCUGAGAGAGAGUGUGAGCAAUGGAGUCAAAACCUCUGAGCAAAAGCAACGAGUCCUCCUUCAUUCUCUUAGCUCGAUCAGAUUCUCCUACAUUCACACGGGUGGCUGAAGAUGGGUCAAGAUUGACUUGAUCUUGGCCAAUGGAAACCUUCCCUUGGCGGUGCUCAAGAAGCGUGUCGAUCCGGCUACGGAGCGCACUCCAGAAACGCUUAUCCGAUGCAGAGCUGAACAGAGGUGAAGAAAACAUCAAGCUUGUAGACUCCUUGUUGAUGUGGGUAGGAGGAGAUGGAGAAUAAUCCAGUGAAGCAGCCAUGAGAGAAGGAUGGAGGGAGAGAUAUGAAACGGCUAGUUUCAGGAAGAGAGUAUAAUGAUGUGGAUUUAAAAAGAUGGAGAUCGGAGAUUGUGGCUAACGUUAUAAAAUGGAUCUGACAUAUUGAGGUAGUUGGGUCCCAUCCUUUCCAAUGAUCAAAGCGGCGAUGCCUUUAAAAGCGC
rnacentral:misc_RNA from 1 species